rnacentral:lncRNA from 1 species
UUAAGUAAUCUCACCAAACAACAACUCAAAUGUCUGUAGUUAUAACUUGUCUUCUCCUAAGCUACAAAGUCAAAAACUCAAGCCUCGUGAAACAAAAUAAAAUAAUUAAUUUAAUUGUAGUUUUGGUACUAUGUUAUUACAAAUUAAUAAAACUGAUCUCUUAUUUUAAAAAUUGAUAAUUUUUGUAUUUUUGUUAGAUUUUUGAACUAAAAAAAU